AGAGAACUGUUAGUCUUGACUCUCAAAGUCAUAGGCUCUCAUUAGUGUAAAUGUUGCUCCUUGUAUUCAUUAUAUUUUCUCUCCAAAAAGAGAAUGCUGCUGCUGACAUCAUAAAACCAGUCUUCACAGAGAAGCAGAUUUUAGCAGGAAAAGAUGUUACAUUGAUCUGCAACUACAAUGGAAAUGUUCAGAAUUUACAGUGGUACCGUCAGUAUCCCGGAUCCAAACCUGAGCACCUCAUUGUGUUCUUUGAAACCAGCCCUAAAUUAGAGCCCGCUCUCCGUCUGACCGCUGCGGCUGAUAAAGCAGCCAAAACCAUGAAUCUGACCAUCUCUUCUACAGAAGUGAAAGACUCGGCUCUGUACUACUGUGCCCUGCAGCCCACAGUGACAGGAAACACAACUACACUGUACAAAAACUGA